rnacentral:rRNA from 1 species
AUGAACGCUGGCGGCGUGCCUAAUACAUGCCAGUCGAGCGAACGGACGAGAAGCUUGCUUCUCUGAUGUUAGCGGCGGACGGGUGAGUAACACGUGGAUAACCUACCUAUAAGACUGGGAUAACUUCGGGAAACCGGAGCUAAUACCGGAUAAUAUUUUGAACCGCAUGGUUCAAAAGUAAAAGACGGUCUUGCUGUCACUUAUAGAUGGAUCCGCGCUGCAUUAGCUAGUUGGUAAGGUAACGGCUUACCAAGGCAACGAUGCAUAGCCGACCUGAGAUGGUGAUCGGCCACACGGGAACUGAGACACGGUCCAGACUCCUGCGGGAGGCAGCAGUAGGGAAUCUUCCGCAAUGGGCGAAAGCCUGACGGAGCAACGCCGCGUGAGUGAUGAAGGUCUUCGGAUCGUAAAACUCUGUUAUUAGGGAAGAACAUAUGUGUAAGUAACUGUGCACAUCUUGACGGUACCUAAUCAGAAAGCCACGGCUAACUACGUG